AUGGACAGUAGAGGAGCAUCAGGCCAAGAAUCAGAAUCCUGGAUUCAGAUCUUUGUUCGCGCCCAGGAGCUACACACUGUUGAGGUGAUCGACAGGGUGACAAUCGCCCAGAUCAAGGCUCAGGUAGUCGCACAGACGAUCAAGUUGUACUCCUGGCAGGCACGCCGCUGGUUUGGAGGUUUGGAGGAUGAGGCCAUCCUGGGCCAGUGUGGGGUGGAGGCCCUGGCCACUCUGAAAGUUGCCAGCAGCAUGCUUGGAGGUAAAGUCCAUGGUUCCCUUGCCCAUGCUGGGAAAGUGAGGAGUCAGACUGCUAAGGUGAACAAACAGAAGAAGAAGAAGACAGGCUGGGCGAAGAGGAGAAUGCAGUACAAACGGCGUUUCAUCAAUGUCGUGCCCACCUUUGGCAAGAAGAAGGGCCCCAAUGCCAACUCCUAAGUCCUUUGUAAUCCUGGCUUUCUCUAAUAAAGAGACUCAGCCCAGUCAAAAAAA